CAGGGGGUGCAAACGUUGCUCGGAAUCAUUGGGCGUAAAGCGCGCGUAGGCGGUUGCUUAAGUCGGAUGUGAAAGCCCUCGGCUCAACUGAGGAAGAGCAUCCGAAACUGAGCAGCUUGAGUACGAAAGAGGGUCGCGGAAUUCCCGGUGUAGAGGUGAAAUUCGUAGAUAUCGGGAGGAACACCGGUGGCGAAGGCGGCGACCUGGGUCGAGACUGACGCUGAGGCGCGAAAGCGUGGGGAGCAAACAGGAUUAGAUACCCUGGUAGUCCACGCCGUAAACGAUGGGUGCUAGAUGUUGCUGGUAUUGACCCCGGCGGCGUCGUAGCUAACGCGUUAAGCACCCCGCCUGGGGAGUACGGCCGCAAGGCUA
rnacentral:rRNA from 1 species